AGUGAACGCUGGCGGUAGGCCUAACACAUGCAAGUCGAACGGCAGCACAGAGAAGCUUGCUUCUUGGGUGGCGAGUGGCGGACGGGUGAGGAAUACAUCGGAAUCUACUUUUUCGUGGGGGAUAACGUAGGGAAACUUACGCUAAUACCGCAUACGACCUUCGGGUGAAAGCAGGGGAUCUUCGGACCUUGCGCGAUUGAAUGAGCCGAUGUCGGAUUAGCUAGUUGGCGGGGUAAAGGCCCACCAAGGCGACGAUCCGUAGCUGGUCUGAGAGGAUGAUCAGCCACACUGGAACUGAGACACGGUCCAGACUCCUACGGGAGGCAGCAGUGGGGAAUAUUGGACAAUGGGCGCAAGCCUGAUCCAGCCAUACCGCGUGGGUGAAGAAGGCCUUCGGGUUGUAAAGCCCUUUUGUUGGGAAAGAAAUCCAGUCGGCUAAUACCCGAUUGGGAUGACGGUACCCAAAGAAUAAGCACCGGCUAACUUCGUG
rnacentral:rRNA from 1 species